rnacentral:rRNA from 1 species
AACGAACGCUGGCGGCAUGCCUAACACACGCAAGUCGAACGAGAUCUUCGGGUCUAGUGGCGCACGGGUGCGUAACGCGUGGGAAUCUGUCCUUUGGUUCGGAAUAACAGUUGGAAACGACUGCUAAUACCGGAUGAUGACGAAAGUCCAAAGAUUUAUCGCCAGAGGAUGAGCCCGCGUAGGAGUAGCUAGUUGGUGUGGUAAAGGCGCACCAAGGCGACGAUCCUUAGCUGGUCUGAGAGGAUGAUCAGCCACACUGGGACUGAGACACGGCCCAGACUCCUACGGGAGGCAGCAGUGGGGAAUAUUGGACAAUGGGCGAAAGCCUGAUCCAGCAAUGCCGCGUGAGUGAUGAAGGCCUUAGGGUUGUAAAGCUCUUUUACCCGGGAUGGUAAUGACAGUACCGGGAGAAUAAGCUCCGGCUAACUCCGUGCCAGCCGCCGCCGUAA